rnacentral:lncRNA from 1 species
GGAUUAAGGAAGAAAAAUUCAUUCAUAUAAAAACCUAAAGAAGAUUUCCCGAUAAUUCCAUCCAAUCGUUAGAAUAUUAGAGAUGGGGAGAAAGUAGACUAAUAUUCAUUGAGUUAUUCCAUUUACUCUUUUAAGAGGACACCUGGAACAAUAGCUAUAAAUUGAAACGGCAUAUAUAAAAUAAAAGAAGACCUUUCGUCAACAUGGAUGCUGGUGCUUGGUCAUCCUAAUUUCAUUGUCCAUGGCUUUCUUCUUCAGACCCAGGAAGUGGAAAUCCCUUGGAGAAACCAAUUGAAGCCUUUCAAAUUGCCUAGCACUGCCCAAAGGGGGUGGAGGGACAGUGGCCUUUGGAGUUGUGAGCUUACUCUAGUAAGUGACUUGUGAACUCUCACACUUAAUGACACAGUUCAACUUCUGGAGGGUCUAUCACAGUAAACACCGUCUAAACGGAUGUGCUGAGAGGCUGCUUACUGUAAGGAAAUUACAUGGUGACUCAUUAGAGCAGGUAAGGACUAUAGAAAUCCCAUGUUCCGAGGUUGACUUUUCCAGAUAAUUUGAUUCAAUUUGAGCAAUAUUUAUUAUUAUUGUGUUCUAGGAACUGGG